rnacentral:RNase_P_RNA from 1 species
CCGACGGACCAGACGGCCGCGGGAGUCCGCUCCCGAGGAAAGUCCGAACUCCGCAGGGCAGGACGCCGGGUAACGCCCGGGGCGCGCAAGCGUACGGAAAGUGCCACAGAGAAGGGGGCCGGAGUCGGGGCUGGGUGUUUUUAAGUGCCUGUGUCUCCGCCCGGUCCUUGAGACCGCCCAAGCCCGCCCACGGCGGGACGGCAAGGGUGAAACGGUGGGGUAAGAGCCCACCAGCGGCGCCGGCGACGGCGUCGGCUCGGUAAACCCCGUCCGGAGCAAGACCAAAUAGGAGACGACGAGCGGCCCGCUCAUUUCGUCUCGGGUAGGUCGCUGGAGCCGGUGGAGCGAUCCCCGGCGUAAGAUGGAUGGCCGUCACGCGGUCGGAGGCCCGCCCCGCGCGGACCGUUCGCACGACCGACGACAGAAUUCGGCUUAUCGGUCCGCCGACGAA